rnacentral:rRNA from 1 species
UGACGGCGUACCUUUUGUAUAAUGGGUCAACGACUUAGUGUGACAAGCGAGCUUAAGCCGGUAGGUGUAGGCGUAGCGAAAGCGAGUCUGAAUAGGGCGUUUAGUUUGUUGCAUUAGACCCGAAACCGAGUGAUCUAGCCAUGAGCAGGUUGAAGGUUGGGUAACACCAAUUGGAGGACCGAACCCGUAUCUGUUGCAAUAGAUUGGGAUGACUUGUGGCUAGGGGUGAAAGGCCAAUCAAACUCGGAGAUAGCUGGUUCUCCGCGAAAUCUAUUUAGGUAGAGCGUUAACUGAAUACCCUCGGGGGUAGAGCACUGGAUAGGCUAUGGGGGCUUACCGCCUUACUGCUCCUAACCAAACUCCGAAUACCGAGGAGUACUAGUUGGCAGACACACAGUGGGUGCUAACGUCCAUUGUGGAGAGGGCAACAACCCUGACCUCCAUCUAAGGUCCCGAAGUCAUGGCUAAGUGGGAAAGGAUGUGAAGAUCCCAAAACAACCAGGAUGUUGGCUUAGAAGCAGCCAUCAUUUAAAGAAAGCGUAACAGCUCACUGGUCUAGAUAAGGAUUUUUGCGCCGAAAAUGUAACGGGGCUAAAGCCAUGCACCGAAGAUGAGGAUUUGUUUAUUUUUAAACGAGUGGUAGCGGAGCGUUCCGUAAGCUGAUGAAGGAGGACUUGUGAGA